ACGAACGCUGGCGGCGUGCUUAACACAUGCAAGUCGAACGGAAAGGCCCUGCUUUUGUGGGGUGCUCGAGUGGCGAACGGGUGAGUAACACGUGAGUAACCUGCCCUUGACUUUGGGAUAACUUCAGGAAACUGGGGCUAAUACCGGAUAGGAGCUCCUGCUGCAUGGUGGGGGUUGGAAAGUUUCGGCGGUUGGGGAUGGACUCGCGGCUUAUCAGCUUGUUGGUGGGGUAGUGGCUUACCAAGGCUUUGACGGGUAGCCGGCCUGAGAGGGUGACCGGCCACAUUGGGACUGAGAUACGGCCCAGACUCCUACGGGAGGCAGCAGUGGGGAAUAUUGCACAAGGGGCGGAAGCCUGAUGCAGCAACGCCGCGUGCGGGAUGACGGCCUUCGGGUGGUAAACCGCUUUCGCCUGUGACGAAGCGUGAGUGACGGUAAUGGGGAAAGAAGCACCGGCUAACUACGU
rnacentral:rRNA from 1 species